rnacentral:rRNA from 1 species
GAUGAACGCUGGCGUCGUGCCUAAUACAUGCAAGUCGAGCGAACAGAUGAGGAGCUUGUUCCUCUGACGUUAGCGGCGGACGGGUGAGUAACACGUGGAUAACCUACCUAUAAGACUGGGAUAACUUCGGGAAACCGGAGCUAAUACCGGAUAAUAUAUUGAACCGCAUGGUUCAAUAGUGAAAGACGGUUUUGCUGUCACUUAUAGAUGGAUCCGCGCCGCAUUAGCUAGUUGGUAAGGUAACGGCUUACCAAGGCAACGAUGCGUAGCCGACCUGAGAGGGGGAUCGCCCACACUGGAACUGCGACACGCACAAGACUCCGACGGGAGGCAGCAGUAGGGAAUCUUCCGCAAUGGGCGAGAGCCUGACGGAGCCCCGCCGCGUGAGUGAUGACGGUCUUCGGAUCGUAAUACUCUGUUAUUAGGGAAGAACAAAUGUGUAAGUAACUAUGCCCGUCUUGACGGUACCUAAUCAGCAAGCCACGGCUAACUCCGUG